UCCAGUCUGGGAGUGCUUGCGCGUCACUGAGCACGGCUGCACCUCUCGCCCCCGCUUUGCUUGGAAGCUCCCCUCCGCUCAUCUCUCUGUCCUCUUCUUCUUCGUGUUCCUUCUCGGGGGAGAGAGGGGGACAGGGGGGGGGGGUCAUCGCCAAGAGCUUUUCAGCAGCGCCUCCAUCACCUUUAGACACAGACACACAGAAACAACUGCAAGGACAGCUCUGCGCGCUAAUCGAGAGCCAUGCAGGUCUCUCUUCACAACACGGUGAAGACGUACAACCUCACGGCUGGCAAAUCGCUGCCGGAGUGGCUCAGUGAGCGUCGCAAGAACAAGCGGGCGUCGGCAGGGCAGGAGAACCGCGUGGAGCUGCUGCACGACCUCGAGUUCCCGCACUGCGCGCGCUGUAUCUUCCGUUGCGCCAAUGGAACGCAUCUCUUCGCCGCUGGCGACUACCCGUACCGCCUCAAGUGUUUCGACGUGAACGACCUUAGCAUGAAGUUCAGUUUCAACGCGGACAUGAACAUUCUCUCUGGUGUGUGCCUCUCACCCGACUACCGCAAGUUUGCACUGCGCGGGGAAGGGCGGCAGAUCACCAUUCACCACACCUCUGCGAUCGUAGACAGGGUUCGUGUGCCGCAUCUCCAGCGCUCCCUCGCGUACAACCAGUUCCAGGCGGAUCUCUUGUCUGCUGGCGUCUCGCCGGAGGUCUACCGCAUCAACCUUGAAACCGGCGCGUUUGUGGAGAGCUACCAGACGAGCAGCGCAGACGGCGUGAAUCAUGUGGAGGUGUUCGGACGGCACGGCCCGGUCAGUGGUGUAGUGUUGACAGCUGGAUGCGACGGCGCGAUCGAGGCCUGGGAUAGUCGUGUCGGCGCGGCUGUGGCUCGCGUGCAGGUGGCCGGAAGCGGCAGCAGCUCCGGCAUCGAUGAGCCGUGCGAGGUUCGGCACAUCGCCACGGAAGAAAGCGGUGGUCUCCUCUUCACCUGCGGCCUUGAGAGCGGCGAGGUACUGCUGUACGACGUCCGCCUGCAGAAGCCGCUGCUCGUGAAGGACCACAUGAACAGUCUGCCCAUUGUGAAGACAUACUUCUUCCAUGGCAAGAGCACCGCCACUGGCGAGGCCAGCUUCGUCCUCUCCGCCGACACCCGCUCGCUGAAGGUGUGGAACAAGCACGACGGCAGCAACUUCACGACAAUCGACGCCCCGGCGGACAUCACUGACUUCACCCUCUUCAAGAGUCAGCACAACAUGGUGGCGCCGUACGAGAGCGACGACAGCGGUGUGGUCGCUCUCUGCUGCGACGUGCCGCGGGUGCAGGUGCACUUUAUCCCUCAACUCGGCGCAGCCCCGCGCUGGGCCUCCUUCCUGGAGGUGAUGACGGAGGAGCUGGAAGAGAAGGAGACGACGACGGUGUACGACGACUUCACGUUCAUUUCAAAGGACGAGAUGAACGCGCUGGGCAUCGCCGCCGAGGACCUUGCAGGUGGCAAGGUGCGUCCUGUCAUGCACGGCGCCUUUAUCGAGAACGGGCUGUACCGCGAGCUGCGCGCCGUAGUGGACCCCACAGCCUUCAACAACUAUGUCGCCUCGAAGGCGAAGGAGCGGCAUUCCAAGCGGUGGGCGGAUCGCAUCAGUCGCUUCCACCGAGCCAAGGAGAACGACGAGGACGCCGACGACGCGCAGGCUGGCGGUGAUGCCGCAGCGGCAGCGCCGCGCAACUCGGCACUGGCGACGGCGAAGGCGGAUCCGCGAUUUGCGCGUGCCUUUGGCCGUACAGCGGGCGGCGCUGCCUCCUCCUUCGCUCUUGACCGGCGCAAUCCCGAGUAUGCGAAAUUGCUUCAGACGAUCGACGAGCGGCGCGCCAAAGCCUCCGCACGUCGGGAGCGCUACGAGGCGGAGAUGUUCUCCGUCGUCCCUGACGUUGGCGGGGAGGACGAUGCAGAAAGCUAUGAGGGCGGCGGUGAUCGCGCAGCGCUCCGCGCUGUUCAGCGACAAAUCGACAAGAACAGCGCCACGGCUGCUGCUGCACAAAUGGACGAGGACGAGGACGAGGACGCACGCCACCAUCUGCGCGGAGUGCAGAGCAGUGGCCGAGCGAAGCGCCGCGCUCCGCCGCAGCAGAAGGCAGCCGUAAGUGCGAAGAUGUCCGAGCGGGACUCUGCAAAGUCCGUCAAGGGCGGCGUCGGUUCAGUGGGGAAGCAGGUGACGAUGUUCGAGGUUUCAGGGCAGAGCACCGACGUUUUCCUGCGCAACGACAAGCAGGUGCACGCCAUUCGCAAGAAGUCCCGCGCUGAGAAGCUGACCCUUGGCGAGCGUCUGAAGCUGGCUGCCUCAGCGAGGUAGUCUCCAUUCGGAGGUUUCUGCUUGUGGGUGUGCUUUCAGGCAUGCCUGUGUGGGGUAGAGGUGGUGUGCUGCAGGUGUGGCGCUAUGCCCUCUAGUGUUCGUUGUUGUUGCCUCCACUGCGUCUAACUAACCGAUCGCUUAAUCUGAUGCAUCACUGCCCAUUCCUUUCCCUCUCUCGCUCGCUCUCUUCGUGCGCCGUCAUGGCAGGUGAGGUCUGGAGGACGGGGAGACGGACAAUGAGUAACGAGUGUCGACGGAUGCAGUUUUUAUUGUGUACGCGUGCACUUCACUCUCUCUCUCUCUGUGGGUCGGCGCGUGCGUGUAAUCGCUAAGCUCUAUCGACGCGAGCAAAACCCCCCCACAGAACACGGGAUGAGAGAGGAACGCAUUCCGGGAGCCUUCGCGCUUUUUCUUUCUUGUUCUCCCGUGCUUUAAAAUUGCGGAAAGUCCGCCAGGGCAGGCUGACCCUCCUCCC
rnacentral:misc_RNA from 1 species